rnacentral:tRNA from 1 species
UCCCUGGUGGUCCAGUGGCUAAGACUUCAAGCUCCCAAUGCAUGGGGCCUGGGUUCAAUCCCCAGUCAGGGAA